AUUGAACGCUGGCGGCAGGCCUAACACAUGCAAGUCGAGCGGAUGAAGGGAGCUUGCUCCUGGAUUCAGCGGCGGACGGGUGAGUAAUGCCUAGGAAUCUGCCUGGUAGUGGGGGAUAACGUCCGGAAACGGGCGCUAAUACCGCAUACGUCCUGAGGGAGAAAGUGGGGGAUCUUCGGACCUCACGCUAUCAGAUGAGCCUAGGUCGGAUUAGCUAGUUGGUGGGGUAAAGGCCUACCAAGGCGACGAUCCGUAACUGGUCUGAGAGGAUGAUCAGUCACCACUGCAACCGCAAACCGCCCAGACUACUGGAGGGGCAAUCUACUGAGAAUUGUGGACUAGGGGCGAAUGCCUGAUCCAGCCAUGCCGCGUGUGAAGAGGGUCUUCGGAUUUUAAAGCACUUUGUGGUUGGAGAAAGGUCAGUAAGUUAAUACCGUGCUGUUUAGACGUUACCAAAAGAAUAAGCACCGGCUAAGUUCGUG
rnacentral:rRNA from 1 species